rnacentral:sRNA from 1 species
ACCAGGCGUUUCUUGCUACGUGUUGCUGCCAGGUCAUCCUAUCCUGACUACUAGUACUCGAGCGAAUUUGGAAGCGCUUUUUGAUAGGUCUCAGUGGUUUCGACCACGCCAGCUUUCAAUUCAAACUUGGUGUGCGCAGAGCAAGUAAGCGGAUCCCCGCUCUUAGUCUCGCCUCAUUGCGGCAGCCAUCAAGAGACAAAGUGCUUUUUCCUACAGUCUGCGGCAUCAUCGUCAUUGAGCGUUGGAAUAUAUGCACACCGCUAGCGAUAUGAAGCAUGCUAGCCAUGCUCGGAGGCCCUACCCACCUAAUCCAUCUAUGGUGAAUAACCAAAUAAAUACAGUGUGGGGUUUAGGUAACAGCUUAUCGAACGGCCUAAAAUGACCCUUUUUGGACCGACACGUUACUGAAAAAAUUCACUG